UACGGAGGAUGCGAGCGUUGUCCGGAUUUAUUGGGUUUAAAGGGAGCGUAGACGGGUUUUUAAGUCAGCUGUGAAAGUUUGGGGCUCAACCUUAAAAUUGCAGUUGAAACUGGAGACCUUGAGUACGGUUGAGGCAGGCGGAAUUCGUGGUGUAGCGGUGAAAUGCUUAGAUAUCACGAAGAACCCCGAUUGCGAAGGCAGCCUGCUAAGCCGCCACUGACGUUGAGGCUCGAAAGUGCGGGUAUCAAACAGG
rnacentral:rRNA from 1 species